UGCGGACGAGGAGGGACAUUACCGAGUUUACAACUCCCAAACCCCUGUGAAACAUACCAAUUGUUGCCUCGGCGGAUCAGCCCGCUCCCGGUAAAACGGGACGGCCCGCCAGAGGACCCCUAAACUCUGUUUCUAUAUGUAACUUCUGAGUAAAACCAUAAAUAAAUCAAAACUUUCAACAACGGAUCUCUUGGUUCUGGCAUCGAUGAAGAACGCAGCAAAAUGCGAUAAGUAAUGUGAAUUGCAGAAUUCAGUGAAUCAUCGAAUCUUUGAACGCACAUUGCGCCCGCCAGUAUUCUGGCGGGCAUGCCUGUUCGAGCGUCAUUUCAACCCUCAAGCCCCCGGGUUUGGUGUUGGGGAUCGGCGAGCCCUUGCGGCAAGCCGGCCCCGAAAUCUAGUGGCGGUCUCGCUGCAGCUUCCAUUGCGUAGUAGUAAAACCCUCGCAACUGGUACGCGGCGCGGCCAAGCCGUUAAACCCCCAACUUCUGAAUGUUGACCUCGGAUCAGGUAGGAAUACCCGCUGAACUUAAGCAUACAAGAUGGGGAGAGAAAAA
rnacentral:rRNA from 1 species